GGGAUUCUAGGCUUCCACAUCUGCCGACAAGGGAAAAUGCAACCAUCAUCUUCAUACUUGAACAAUUUUUUGUAGAAAGAUUUUACAGUGAACAAUCCAUUCGCUAGACGAUUCCAAAGUAUAGAGAGAAAGGAGACACAACAACUCCUCAACUCACGAUCUGCCAAUCAUUGAGCCUACUUAUGACAGGCAUGGAAAGGAUGAAGGCGGCGAGAAACAUGAUUAUGAUCAAAACCUGUGGAAUAGAAAUGAGGACAAGCAGGAGAAUAAUGAUGGAUGGGAGACUGUUGGCAGAAAGACUUCCAGGCAUCCGCAUAAGGUUUAUUCUGGUGCUGUUCAUGGUGGAGCACCUUUCAAAUGUUCAUAAGUGCUCAUUUGGUCUUUAUUACAUUAUCUUAACUGCAUUGCCUGUCCUAGCGAACUAAUGAUGAGAUGAGAACUCAAACUAUCAGUUAAAAAAUAUUUGUUGGUUAACAACAAAAGCAGUGUGUUUUCUUCCCCAUUUAUUUUGACGUUAGAAUAGUGAUUAUGUGCUCUACUUCUAAUAGCAAAAGGUUGAAUUUCUUCCUCAUGCAUUUGCAUUUUAAUAACUAAAUACUAGUCAUUUUCUCUAAGGAAAUUAAUUGUCACAACCCGAACUUUUGGUUGUGAUUAGCAUUAUGGCAAUGAGUAGUACUAAAGACCUCCCAAGUAUCCAUACUAAGUAUGUGAAUAUCAAUGUGUCACCAUGGACAUGCUACACAUUCUGUACAUUAUUAAUUCAUCACAAGCAGUCUGCAUGUAGAUAGCGUAUAGUGUACAUUAGAACCAUGGUCUAUAAAUCCAUUAAACAUGUUUAAUGUUUUUGAAAGAAGGGAAUAUGUUAUUGUUGUCAAUUUCAGUAGCAGAUAGUAGAAGAUCUAGGCUGAAACAAUUGGAAACAUCUACGUAACAAUAGUAUUAGUAAUAAUAAUUAUGAUGGCACCUUAGUCAUGAGAUCACUGGAAACAUCCACAUCUAGAAGUUGGGUUGAUGACAUCUUUGGGAUCUAAGCCUCAGAAGAUAGGGUAAGGAGAGUUCAACUCUAUCACCUCAACUAUGUCUCAAUGAUAGAGAAAGGAAAGAUCAGCUCUCCCACCUCAAAUCUAUCAUAAUAUGCAGGAGAAAGAGAGGUCAACUCUACAACCUGAUCAUCACAGAACUUAGGAUAAGGAGAUAUCAGCUCUACCACAUUAACCUACUAGGGAUUAAUUGUAGUUUCUCAAUCUUGUCAUUGAACUUUGAUAAAGAAGAGGUCAACUUUGCCACCUCAAUUCUGACAUCCAACUUAAGGGAAGAAGAAACUAAUUCUACUACCUCAACUUUGUCAUUGCACGUAGGAGAAACAGAAAUUUAACUCUACCACCUUAACCUUUACAUAAAAGCUAGGAGAAAGAGAUACUAACUCUGCCGCCUAAACCUUCCCUAUAAAGAGGUCAGCUUGACCACCUCAACCCUGUCAUCAAAUUUACAAGAAGGAAAGAUUAAUUUUAUCACCUCAACUAUGUUGUUGCACAACUGGGAAGGUUUUAUUUCUGGCAAUCAGACCAUUGUUUCUUUGCGAUUCUUUAUUGUUUGCUUUUUUGUUUAGCAUCAUGCUGAGGAUGUCGUAUUCUCCUUGAUUGUAUUUUUCUUUCUCUUUCUCAUCAUUAAUGAUAUUUAGACUCUUAUAAAAAAAUUAAUUACAGCUCCAUUUAGGAGACUAAUAGUAUAAAUAAAAAAGAGACAUUUUCCAAUAGUUUGCAUAUAAAAGGAGACACUUUCCAACACUUUUCUUAGAGUUUUAUUUACUGUUGUCACUUUAUGUUUGUCCUUCUAGUUAUUGCUCUGUCUAACUUUUUCUGUUUAGUUUACUUCAUUUUGUAAUUGUGGAGUUUUUUGGAGAAUAAGAGAUUUGGGGCUCGACGGAGAAGACAGAUUAGGGGAUGCCUAUCUUCUAUUUUAUUCAUGAUAAUUGUGAAUGUUAAAUCAUAAGAUUGGGUUUCAGGCAUCAAGAGGAUUGAGACAGUGAGACCCAUUCUCACCUUUUCUAUUUACUUUGGUGGUGAACGUGCUAAGCCCAAUGUUAACUAGGGGGUCGAAAAGAGGGGUGAUUCCGGUUUGGAGAGUGGUAACGACAAGGUUGAGAUUUCUUAGUUGCUAUUUGUUGAUGACACAAUUCUUUUAUUCGAAUACGUUAGAAUAUUAUAAAAUAUUCCCUGUAUAUAAUAGUAUGAUUAUGUUUUCAAAUAUGUUAGCGUAAUUAAUAGGGUGAUUUAUGUUGAUUAUCAUGUAUGAAUCCAUCUAUAUGUAUAUAUAUUGUUAUUCUCAUUUCAAUAAUAGACAAGUAAGUAUUCAAUAUUUUUCUUCCGUAACCCUUUAUAUGGUAUCAGAAUUAGGUUAGGGUUAGUGUUUUAGUGGUCAGACCAAAUAAAGGUUGAACAUCCUAUUCCUAGCGUUGGAGGAAGUCGACCACCGUUUUUUUACUAGUUCAGAUCAUGGCUUGCACGGUGGUGCACACAGAAGAGGCGGAGGAAGCCUUUUUCUCACGAUUUUUUGGUCUUCAAACGUCGGGUGAGUCUUGUUCGGCCGUUUCACGUGCGUGUCGCAUUUGGCCCAAAGUCAGAACCUGAAGAGAAGCUCGGCUAGCCUAGUCUGAUAAAAAAACCAAAAGGCCAGAGCGGAGAAAGUAGAGAUAGAGUGGAUAGCGUGACAACAAGCUUCUAGUUUUUAGACGUAAUUUGAGGUAAUUUUGCAAACACUAUUCUAGAUUUAGGCAUGCAUUUGGGUUCUGUGGUGAUUUUAGCUGAAGAGAGGUAUUUUGGUGAUUUUCGGCAGCAGUGCACGGCUCUUCGGUGGCGACUAUGAACUCCAACAGCGGCAGAUGCGGCGGUGUGUAAACUUCGGUGGUUGGCAGUGACUCUAGUAGGAUUAUUGACAGUCGUGCAUGAAGAAAUACUCUAUUUUCUUAGAUUUUCUAGUUUAUUUGCAGCAUU